rnacentral:misc_RNA from 1 species
AAGUCGUAACAAGGUUUCCGUAGGUGAACCUGCGGAAGGAUCAUUAACACGUAUCCAACGUUAAACCCCCCUGUGAACUUUUACACUUGCUCUCGAAGCUCGCCGGAAUUGUAAUCCCUGGUAAUCAUUGUUGAACAGAUUUUGAUUCAACGACCUCAGUUUGGUGAGUUAGAUCCGAGCGAUCGUUGUUUCCCCAAGCAGCCGGGACCAGGUCGCAGUGGCUUCGGCCCCCUAUAUUCACCACUACCUUUAAGUCGCCUCGUAGGAAACUGCUGGGCAUCAAAACGAACAACUGUUAACAAUGGAUAUCUUGGUUCUC